CCUCCUACGGGGGGCAGCAGUGAGGAAUAUUGGUCAAUGGACGCAAGUCUGAACCAGCCAUGCCGCGUGCAGGAUGACGGCUCUAUGAGUUGUAAACUUCUUUUGUACGGGGGUAAACCCCGAUACGUGUAUCGGGUUGAAAGGAUCGUACGGAUAAGGAUCGGCUAACUCCGGGCCAGCAGCCGCGGGAAUACGGAGGAUCCGAGCGUUAUCCGGAUUUAUUGGGGUUAAAGGGUGCGUAGGCGGUGUGAUAAGUUAGAGGGGAAAUGUCGGGGGUCAACCCCGAAACUGC
rnacentral:rRNA from 1 species